AUGAAAGGUAUGAUGAGAAGAGAAGGAAGAAAAGAAAGAAGGAAAAACAAAAACAAAUUGAAGAGAGGGGUUUUUUAUCUUCUCUCUCUCUCUCUCUCUCUCUCUCUCU
rnacentral:ribozyme from 1 species